rnacentral:rRNA from 1 species
AAAUUUCUGCACAGGGCGAAAGCCUGACGGAGCAAUGCAGCGUGAGUGACGAAGGCCUCCGGGUUGUAAACUUCUGUCCUGAGGGAAGAUAGGUAUAUUUGUGAAUAAUGUAUAGUAAUGACGGUAACUAAGCAGCAAGUCGCGGCGAACUCAGGUCCAGCCGCCGCGGUAACACGUAGGGGGCGAGCGUUGUCCGGAAUCACUGGGCGUAAAGAGCACGUAGGCGGAUUAUUAAGUCAGAUGUGAAAACUCUGGGCUAAACCUAGAGACUGCAUCUGAAACUGGUAGUCUUGAGUAUAGAAGAGGAGAGUGGAAUUACUAGUGUAGCAGUGAAAUUCGUAGUUAAUAAGAGGAACACCAGUGGCGGAGGCGACUCUCUGGUCUAUAACUGACGCUGAGGUGCGAAAACGUUGGGAACAAAC